rnacentral:rRNA from 1 species
UACGGGGGGAGCAAGCGUUGUUCGGCUUUACUGGGCGUAAAGGGCGCGUAGGCGGCCACCGCAAGUCGGUUGUGAAAUCUCUGGGCUUAACCCAGAAAGGUCAACCGAUACUGCGGGGCUAGAGUGCAGAAGGGGCAACUGGAAUUCUCGGUGUAGCGGUGAAAUGCGUAGAUAUCGAGAGGAACACCUGCGGCGAAGGCGGGUUGCUGGGCUGACACUGACGCUGAAGCGCGAAAGCUAGGGGAGCGAACGGG